AUGACUUUGAGCUAGUGUUUGCAAAAAAAAAUCAUCAAAUUGUUGAAGAAUAUUUGAAGAAGCCAGAAUUUGGUGAUCUUAUGAGGAGAUUGGGUGCUUUGGGUGAUACCCAUGAUAAGAGCACAUUGACACCAGAUGAGUGGGAAGUAGCUUACUUAUAUUUGGCUUUUGUGCUGAGAAAGCGAGGGCAACCGGACCCAACGCAGAAGCGGAGUAUGAAAAAGGGCGACAAUGAUACGCCCAUUAAAAAGGAAGACAUAAUGUACAUUACUAGUUGAGUUUAACAGGAUAACAUUUAUUUGACUCUCAAAACACAACUGCGAAUC